UUUUAUCAAAAACAUUUCCUAUAGAAAUUAUUUUAGGUAAAACCUGCUCAAUGAAUAUUUUUUAAUAGCCGCAAUUUAUUUGUGCUAAGGUAGCAUAAUCAUUUGUUUUUUGAUUAAAAACUAGAAUGAAUGGUUUAACAUUUAAAUUUCUAUUUAAAAUUUAAUUUAUAAAAUUAUACUAAAAAUAAAAAUAUUUUUAUAAAAAAAUUAGACGACAAGACCCUAUUGAACUUAACUUAUGUUAAGCUGGGGCAGCUUUUUAAUAAAAAUUUUAAAUAUUUUUUAAAAAAUUUAUCCAAAAUUUUUGAAUUAUUAAUCAAGUUACCAUAGGGAUAACAGCGUAAUUUUUGUAAAAAGUUCUUAUUUAAACAAAAGUUUGCGACCUCGAUGUUGAAUUAAAUUUUCUAUAUUUUGCAAUAGAAAUAUUAGUAGGUCUGUUCGACCUAUAAAAAUUUACAUGAUCUGAGUU
rnacentral:rRNA from 1 species